GCCGGGCGUGGAGACACGUGCCUGUAGUGCCAGCUACUUGGGAGGCUGAGGUGGGAGGAUCACUUGAGCCCAGGAGUUCUGGACUGUAGUGCACUAUUCCAAUCAGGUGUCUGCACUAAGUUUAGCAUCAUUAUGGUGACCUCCCGGGAGCAGGGGAUCACCAGGUUGCCUAAGGAGGGGUGAACCAGCCCAGGUCGGAAAUGGAGCAGGUCAAAACUCCCGUGCUGAUCAGUAGUGGGACGGCGCCUGUUAACAGCCACUGCACUCCAGCCUGGGCAACAUAGUGAGUGCCCGUCUCAA
ensembl:misc_RNA Metazoa_SRP Metazoan signal recognition particle RNA